rnacentral:rRNA from 1 species
CGCCAGACUCCUACGGGAGGCAGCAGUGGGGAAUAUUGCACAAUGGGGGAAACCCUGAUGCAGCGACGCCGCGUGAGUGAAGAAGUAUUUCGGUAUGUAAAGCUCUAUCAGCAGGGAAGAAAAUGACGGUACCUGAUUAAGAAGCCCCGGCUAACUACGUGCCAGCAGCCGCGGUAAUACGUAGGGGGCAAGCGUUAUCCGGAUUUACUGGGUGUAAAGGGAGCGUAGACGGCAGUGCAAGUCUGAAGUGAAAGCCCCGGGCUUAACCCGGGAAUUGCUUUGGAAACUGUACGGCUGGAGUGCUGGAGAGGUAAGCGGAAUUCCUAGUGUAGCGGUGAAAUGCGUAGAUAUUAGGAGGAACACCAGUGGCGAAGGCGGCUUACUGGACAGUAACUGACGUUGAGGCUCGAAAGCGUGGGGAGCAAACAGGAUUAGAUACCCGAGUA